rfam:Saccharothrix sp. ALI-22-I Contig64, whole genome shotgun sequence.
AAGAGCCGUAUGACGGGAGACUGUCACGUACGGAUCUGCGGGAGCCCGGGGGUGAGACUCCUCCGGGCCACCCGAC